rnacentral:rRNA from 1 species
GACGUAGGAUGCAAGCGUUGUCCGGAUUUAUUGGGCGUAAAGAGUUCGUAGGUGGUUUGUUAAGUCUGAUGUUAAAGACUGGGGCUCAACCUCGGGACUGCAUUGGAUACUGGCAGACUUGAGUGCGGUAGAGGCAAGUGGAAUUCCAGGUGUAGCGGUGAAAUGCGUAGAUAUCUGGAAGAACACCGGUGGCGCAAGCGACUUGCUGGGCCGUAACUGACACUGAGGAACGAAAGCAUGGGGAGCGAACAGG